GUACUACUCCCUCCGUCCGAAAUACUUGUCCUCGAAAUGGUUGUAUCUAGACUUAUUUUAGUUAUAGAUACAUCCAUUUUAUCAAUUUCUAGGACAAGUAUUUCCGGACGGAGGGAGUAUUUG
rfam:Triticum aestivum genome assembly, contig: Triticum_aestivum_CS42_TGACv1_scaffold_131089_2BL